UGUAGUCAUUAUGCUUGUCUCAAAGAUUAAGCCAUGCAUGUCUAAGUAUAAGCAACUUGUACUGUGAAACUGCGAAUGGCUCAUUAAAUCAGUUAUCGUUUAUUUGAUAGUACCUUACUACAUGGAUACCUGUGGUAAUUCUAGAGCUAAUACAUGCUAAAAACCCCGACUUCAGGAAGGGGUGUAUUUAUUAGAUAAAAAACCAACGCCCUUCGGGGCUCCUUGGUGAAUCAUAAUAACUUAACGAAUCGCAUGGCCUUGCGCCGGCGAUGGUUCAUUCAAAUUUCUGCCCUAUCAACUUUCGAUGGUAGGAUAGUGGCCUACCAUGGUGGCAACGGGUAACGGGGAAUUAGGGUUCGAUUCCGGAGAGGGAGCCUGAGAAACGGCUACCACAUCCAAGGAAGGCAGCAGGCGCGCAAAUUACCCAAUCCCGAUACGGGGAGGUAGUGACAAUAAAUACUGAUACGGGGCUCUUUUGGGUCUCGUAAUUGGAAUGAGAACAAUU
rnacentral:rRNA from 1 species